rnacentral:rRNA from 1 species
CCUACGGGUGGCUGCAGUCGAGAAUCAUUCACAAUGGGGGAAACUCUGAUGGUGCGACGCAGCGUGGGGGAAUGAAGGUCUUCGGAUUGUAAACCUCUGUUAUGUGGGAGCAAAUCAAAAAGAUAGUACCACAUGAUGAAGAGACGGCUAACUCUGUGCCAGCAGCCGCGGUAAUACAGAGGUCUCAAGCGUUGUUCGGCAUAACUGGGCGUAAAGCGUUCGUAGGCUGUUUCGUAAGUCGUGUGUGAAAGGCGCGGGCUCAACCCGCGGACGGCACAUGAUACUGGCAGAUUAGAGUACUGUAGAGGGAACCGGAAUUCGCGGUGUAGCAGUGAAAUGCGUAGAUAUCGAGAAGAACACUCAUGGCGAAGGCAGGUUCCUGGACAUUAACUGACGCUGAUGCACGAAGGCCAGGGGAGCGAAAGGGAUUAGAUACCCGUGUAGUC